AUUUCAUGAUGAAAGCACUUUCGUAAUAACUCCUUAAAUUGCUCACAUGCCUCAUGUAAAUAUUCUGCAUCAAAUUGUUGAAUGAAAUGAGUUCAUUGCGGAGCUU
rfam:Gossypium hirsutum cultivar TM-1 chromosome 25, whole genome shotgun sequence